UGCAAGUCGUACGCGUUGGCCCAACUGAUUUGAAGUGCUUGCACGGAUCUGACGUUGGUUUACCAACGAGUGGCGGACGGGUGAGUAACACGUAGGUAACCUGCCCAGAAGCGGGGGACAACACUUGGAAACAGGUGCUAAUACCGCAUAACAAUUCAAAUCGCAUGAUUUGAAUUUAAAAGAUGGUUUCGGCUAUCACUUCUGGAUGGACCUGCGGCGCAUUAGCUUGUUGGUGGGGUAACGGCCUACCAAGGCAGUGAUGCGUAGCCGAGUUGAGAGACUGAUCGGCCACAAUGGGACUGAGACACGGCCCAUACUCCUACGGGAGGCAGCAGUAGGGAAUCUUCCACAAUGGGCGCAAGCCUGAUGGAGCAACACCGCGUGAGUGAAGAAGGUUUUCGGAUCGUAAAGCUCUGUUGUUGAAGAAGAACGUGCAUGAGAGUAACUGUUCAUGCAGUGACGGUAUUCAACCAGAAAGUCACGGCUAACUACGUGCCAGCAGCCGCGGUAAUACGUAGGUGGCAAGCGUUAUCCGGAUUUAUUGGGCGUAAAGAGAGUGCAGGCGGUUUCUUAAGUCUGAUGUGAAAGCCUUCGGCUCAACCGAAGAAGUGCAUCGGAAACUGGGAAACUUGAGUACAGAAGAGGGCAGUGGAACUCCAUGUGUAGCGGUGGAAUGCGUAGAUAUAUGGAAGAACACCAGUGGCGAAGGCGGCUGCCUGGUCUGUAACUGACGCUGAGACUCGAAAGCAUGGGUAGCGAACAGGAUUAGAUACCCUGGUAGUCCAUGCCGUAAACGAUGAGUGCUAGGUGUUGGAGGGUUUCCGCCCUUCAGUGCCGGAGCUAACGCAUUAAGCACUCCGCCUGGGGAGUACGACCGCAAGGUUGAAACUCAAAGGAAUUGACGGGGGCCCGCACAAGCGGUGGAGCAUGUGGUUUAAUUCGAAGCUACGCGAAGAACCUUACCAGGUCUUGACAUCUUGCGCCAACCCUAGAGAUAGGGCGUUUCCUUCGGGAACGCAAUGACAGGUGGUGCAUGGUCGUCGUCAGCUCGUGUCGUGAGAUGUUGGGUUAAGUCCCGCAACGAGCGCAACCCUUGUUACUAGUUGCCAGCAUUAAGUUGGGCACUCUAGUGAGACUGCCGGUGACAAACCGGAGGAAGGUGGGGACGACGUCAGAUCAUCAUGCCCCUUAUGACCAGGGCUACACACGUGCUACAAUGGACGGUACAACGAGCAGCGAACUCGCGAGGGCAAGCAAAUCUCUUAAAACCGUUCUCAGUUCGGAUUGCAGGCUGCAACUCGCCUGCAUGAAGUCGGAAUCGCUAGUAAUCGCGGAUCAGCAUGUCGCGGUGAAUACGUUCCCGGGCCUGGUACACACCGCCCGUCACACCAUGAGAGUUUGUAACACCCAAAGUCGGUGGGGUAACCUUUGGAG
rnacentral:rRNA from 1 species